UGCUUGCUUUUAAGUUUCUGAGUGAAGAAUCAACAUAUAUUUAUAAUGUUGUUUAGUGAGUCCUUUCUGACCUGGGGAAAGUGGAUCUGUGUCCUGGUUUAGGGCAAAUUUGGGAGAAAACCUCUUAAGGGGUUACUCUAGAAAGAAAAUUCAAACGGCCCCUCCCCCCAGCUGGUUCGGGAAAAGAUUUCUUUGGAGGAAAGUGGAAAAAAACUGCUUAUUUAACAGGCAAAGCAUUCACCAGCACAAAAAUUGAACAAUAUUAAACAAUAAAGCCUCUUGCCACUCCGAAAGAGAUGACAAACUCAGGAAGUCCCUCUGUGGGCUGUGGCUCGGCUCACUCAGUCUCUGAUCAGUCCCUCCGAGGCCCAGGCCCGGCCCGGUGGGCCACAGGUGCGAGCUGCCGGUGCUCUCCUGGUGUUCAGUCCAGAGCAGGUUUAAACAGCUCCAAAGAAAAGGAAAAACCACAGUCCAGGGAAAUUCUCUGCCUCAGUUCGCAAGAGCAGAUCACCUGCCAGCCCCGGCUCACUCUCCUCGGGGUGACAGGGCAGCGAGAGGCACUCCCUGCUGAACCCAGCUGGGCUUUAGAGAGUGCCUGCGUGGCUCCGGGGACACGGCUGAUCCCACCGGCAAGGAAGGAGGAGACACUCUUCUGGGGCUCUGCUUUCCAGACUUGAUUGUCUUCAAAUUUGUGCAUCACAACAGGUCCUUGAGAUGUACCGGUGGAUGGAGAAGUUGAUGCAGUAAGAAUUUGAAAGGU